rnacentral:rRNA from 1 species
AGCUAAUAGAUACCCGGGUAGUCCUGGCCCUCAACGUUGCUCGCUCGUUUUUACGGAGUAUCGACCCUCUGUGAGACUAAAGCUAAACGCGGUAAGCGAGCCGCCUGGGUAGUACGAUCGCAAGAUUAAAACUCAAAGGAAUAGACGGGGACUCGCACAAGCAGUGGAUUAUGCGGCUUAAUUCGUCGGUAAACGAAGAACCUUACCAAGGUUAGAAACCCAACUGCAUCCGACCUGAAAGGGACGGAGCCUUCGAGGGUGUUGGGCAGGUGAUGCAUGGUCGUCGUCAGUUCCUGGUUUGAAACUGUUCCCUUCAGUGGGGUAACGAACGCAACCCCC